GCGGGGGGCGCGGCUGGGGCGGCUCUCGCGGGGUCCGCCUGCCAGCCCGGCGUGCGGGGGUCCCCAUGCCGUUCGCGGGCCGGUGGCUCUGCCGUCCCACCCCGGCCUCGGCGUCGAGGGGGGCGGGACUGCCGUGGGCGCUGCAGUCUGAUCCGGGGGUCAAGACUGCCCCGUCGGGCAGCGGUUCGGUCCGUGGCCUCUAAAGCUUCGUUCCCUCCCCUCCCUGGGAAGGUCCCACCGCCCCUAGAACUGAGCUUGCCCGUGUGCCAGGGCCCGUGUGCCAGGAUUGUCGGUCACUGUGUAUGUGUGCCUCCUUGUCCGGGCGACGCUGGAGGCAGCUUGACCUCACCUUUGCCCCGUCCUGCGGUGUGGGAAACCACCCCCGGGGCUGGACUACAUGAGUGCCAGAUCUGAGGGCCAGGAGGAGGGUGCCUUGGGGCUAGCAUGGUGGCCUGGCCAGUUUCUGCCCUUAGAAAUGAAUACCCUCCUGCCUGGGUUUGGACGUGUGCCCCCAGAGGCGUCUGGGCAACUUAGUGAGUUAAAGCCUCUGCUUUCGGCUCAGGUCAUGAUCUUGGGGUGCUGGGAUAGAGCCCGCAUGGGGCUCCCAGCUCAGCAGGCUGGGUCUAUACCCAGACCAGUACUGCAUCUCCGACACAGUCUCCGUGGAGGUUGGGCCUGUGGGCCGUGCGGGGCUGGGUCCGUGAGUCUCAACCCAGUGGCACGCUGACCUGAGCAGGCAACACGUGUAGACAGUGACAGUGCCCGCCCCUGGGCAGGGAGGUCCGCCUCCGUGGGACGCUGUCGCUUCCAGCCCCCCAGGUGCCGGCUGGGCUGCGACGGAGCUGGAACGGGCGGCCGGCCUGGGCCAUGAUGGGGCGUAGUCCCUUCUGGCUGCCCCACCUGCCGGAGCAGAGCCCCUGACAGAGAAUUUACGAUCAAAGUCUGGAACCCAACGCCAGAGGGAAGAAUCUGACAAGGAUUUGGCCUCCAGGAUCCCGAGAGUCGUGAACACAGGAAAGUCCUCUUGGGAGCUUCCCUUGUCUUUAGAUCCCCCGCUCCGAAGUGCGGAAGUCACUCAGCAGAUCCCUUGGAAGCCUCGUGGCCCCGGGCCCACGCUUUCAUAAGACCCCUCUUGCACCAAAGGGGUCUCAAGAAUUCUUUCCUGGUCGUCACCUCUGGACCCCGACCGUCCGCAUCAUGGGGCCAGCAGGCCCCCCCGGGUAUGGAAGCUCCCCACCCCCACCUCGCCCUACACCUAUCUUCAUGGGGCCGUUCAUCCACAUCUUUUGUAAUAAAUCCAUAACCCAGCGAGUGAGCCGCUCCGCAAAUUCACGGAAUCCACUCGUGGCCGGUCAUCAGAAGCACAGCCAGCGGGGAUUUGCACUGGCCCCAGAAGGAGGGGAAGCAGCUGCUUAGGAAGUGGGGCAGGGGUGGGGCGGAGAGGGCCGUGGACACCCGGCCGACAGGCGAGGAAGGAGAGAGACGCGCGCCAUGGCCGCGGGCCACACAGACCCUCGCAGGGUGCACAGAGCCCAGCUUUCACGCACAGCCUCACCUGAAGUUUUCUUUAUUUCUUCCAUACACACGAUUGGGAAACACGUCACCAACGGAAGGUGAUUUUAUACCACAGUAAGUUCGAACAUAAAUAAAUCUGUGCCACAGUGAGAUUGCCACUCUAAGUUUUAUAGGAAAACGCACCGAACCUCGUAAGACCCAAGCGAUUCCUUCUUCAAGUCUCUACUACAAGGUUGGACGCGUCAGAAGGGGGAGGCUGUCCCUUCGGACACGUCCAUAUUGUCACCGACCAUAC